UUUGAAUUUUAUUUAUUUUUAGUUUUCCAGAUAAUGUGGUUCAUGCUGAUGUGAUCAGAGACAUUAUGAUUGAUGCUACAUCCUCUCUUUGUCCAUAGAUCUAGGUUUUUACACAUCGCUGGUACUUGUUAUAUUGUUUGGAUCUGACUGUUCUGCGUAAUCACCAAAAUUAACUGUGACCAGGAUCCAUGCGGGAAACAUGCAGUGUACAGAGAAAUCAGGUCAGCUACCUUGCCUUUGGAAUUUUUGAGAAAGUGAAUAGAGGAUGUAACAAACCAACCCAUGAUCUUGCAGCGCUUUCACAGGCUGAUAGGAGAAAUUUUUGGGUGGGGCCUGCAUGUUUGGAGAGAAUUGUCGUGUCAUAGUGCUAACUAGGAAAAUGUUGAGGAGGUCCUGUUGCGUCCCAUGUUCAAUAUAAGGGGGUGUUAAAAGGGACUCGAAGCAUUUUCAUGUGUCGAUGGCACGAGAGAUCCUCCCGAUACUCUCCUCAAGGUUGACCCAACUAGAUCCUGAUGCGCCAGCGGCACGGGUGGUCAGGCCUGAGCAGCGAGCUCUUCUGCCCCCUCCUCAUUGGAUCGGCGGCCAGGGAGGCCAGAUCGUGUGGCACGAGAGAAGGCUCAUGUGUGAGGAAGGGGAGCAGCAACAUGCGUCGAUUGGGGAAGGGAGGAGCAACGGGUGCCACUGAAGGGAGGGGAGCAGCGGCAAGCGCGGAGGGAGGGGAGCACGGGAGCCCCAAGGGAGGCGGAGCAGCGGCAGGUGGCGUGGAGGUUGGAGAUCUUGGUGAGGACGGCGCGACGCGAGGUCAUGGUGGCAUGUGUCGGAGCAGUGGUAGGUGGCGUGUGCAGGUAAAUAGCAACAUCACUACCUCUUUUAUUAUGUGCAUAUUACAUUUUGAAUAUUUCAAGUAACCAGAUGGACGUGAACAUAUACACAUAAUCCACUUUCCGGUUGAAGCUUAUUUUCUUGCAUGAGUGGUGAAGAAAAUGAGUGACAAGGAUGAUGAGAAUAAAGGGAGUGCAAUGUGGUUAUUGAAGAAGGGCAAGGAAGAGGAAGACACAUGUUAGUCGGGUGAAGUCAGCAGCGAUCGCUAUCAGUGAUGUUAUUGGCCAAAUAGGUUGUCUAAACAUUUUGCUAGGUCUCCCUCAGGGAUGAUGGUGUAACCUUGUUUCAAGUAGAUAAACAGAAGUGGGCUAAAAGAGUGUCAUAUUACAACAGAUCAGUUGGUGUGAAACUAGAUGUUGGACUAAUACGUAAUGUAAUGGGCAUGAAUGCAUUCUUUUGAGGAUUGGUGGUUGCAGCAGCGCCUGAUCAUGGUUAUAAAUCUUUUUGCUGCUAAAAAGACGUUGUCACUUGGAGAAAUAUAUGAUAGGGCCUGAUUGGAGUUUAUCAUAACUGAUUAUGAGAGAGAUGGAGGUGGAUUAUGUGGACGCCCAAAAAGAUCCAUUGGCAAGGGUCCUGACGAUAUCGUUGGAAGGGGAUGCAACCAGAAAAAAGAGUUCAAAAGCCCGUAGCAACGCAUGUGCCUGAGAUUGUGGCACGAUUUAGAGGGUUGGCCGGCGGCGGAGGCGGCGACUCGGGUAGGGGGCGAUGACCAA